UAGGGAAUCUUCGGCAAUGGGGGCAACCCUGACCGAGCAACGCCGCGUGAGUGAAGAAGGUUUUCGGAUCGUAAAGCUCUGUUGUAAGAGAAGAACGUGUGUGAGAGUGGAAAGUUCACACAGUGACGGUAACUUACCAGAAAGGGACGGCUAACUACGUGCCAGCAGCCGCGGUAAUACGUAGGUCCCGAGCGUUGUCCGGAUUUAUUGGGCGUAAAGCGAGCGCAAGCGGUUUAAUAAGUCUGAAGUUAAAGGCAGUGGCUUAACCAUUGUUCGCUUUGGAAACUGUUAAACUUGAGUGCAGAAGGGGAGAGUGGAAUUCCAUGUGUAGCGGUGAAAUGCGUAGAUAUAUGGAGGAACACCGGUGGCGAAAGCGGCUCUCUGGUCUGUAACUGACGCUGAGGCUCGAAAGCGUGGGGAGCAAACAGG
rnacentral:rRNA from 1 species